rnacentral:sRNA from 1 species
AAAUCGUACGGGGCUGGGAGAUGGGAGAUGGGAGCUGGGCCUGGAGCUUGCCUGGCGGGCGGAUGGGUGUGGGUGGAGGCACGUUGGGGAUCCUGGUGCAGAGUGGGCCAGCUGUGGCCUCGGGGCUCGCCACCGUGGAGGACUCCGCCUGGGCCUAGGCCCCCAUCUCUAGGAAAUGCCUCCUUCCUGCGUGCGCGCGUUGUGAGAUUACUAGUACCAGGAUUUCUAUGCAUUCGACCUGUCAGGAGCCACUCGAGUCCUUGAAUGGAUUGAUGACAAAGGAGUCUUUGUUGCUGGCUAUGAAAGCCUGAAAAAGAAUGAAAUUCUUCAUCUGAAAUUACCUCUCAGACUUUCUGUAAAGGAAAACAAGGGCUUAUUCCCAGAAAGAGAUUUCAAAGUGCGCCAUGGAGGAUUUUCAGACAGGUCUAUCUUUGAUCUAAAGCAUGUGCCACAUACCAGAUUGCUGGUUACCAGUGGCCUUCCAGGUUGUUAUCUGCAGGUGUGGCAGGUUGCAGAGGACAGUGAUGUCAUUAAAGCUGUCAGCACCAUUGCUGUGCAUGAGAAAGA